rnacentral:rRNA from 1 species
UACGAAGGGGGCUAGCGUUGUUCGGAAUUACUGGGCGUAAAGCGCACGUAGGCGGACAUUUAAGUCAGGGGUGAAAUCCCAGAGCUCAACUCUGGAACUGCCUUUGAUACUGGGUGUCUUGAGUGUGGAAGAGGUCAGUGGAAUUGCGAGUGUAGAGGUGAAAUUCGUAGAUAUUCGCAGGAACACCAGUGGCGAAGGCGGCUGACUGGUCCACAACUGACGCUGAGGUGCGAAAGCGUGGGGAGCAAACAGGAUUAGAAACCCAGUAGUCC